rnacentral:rRNA from 1 species
UACGGAGGGGGCCAGCGUUGUUCGGAAUUAUUGGGCGUAAAGGGCGCGUAGGCGGCAGGAUAAGUCUGACGUGAAAUCCCUCGGCCUAACCGAGGAACUGCGUUUGAAACUGUCCAGCUCGAGUCCGGGAGAGGGUAGUGGAAUUCCCAGUGUAGCGGUGAAAUGCGUAGAUAUUGGGAGGAACACCGGUGGCGAAGGCGGCUACCUGGACCGGUACUGACGCUGAGGCGCGAAAGCCAGGGGAGCAAACAGG